rnacentral:rRNA from 1 species
CAAUAGCGUAUAUUAAAGUUGUUGCGGUUAAAAAGCUCGUAGUUGGAUUUCUGCCGAGGACGACCGGUCCGCCCUCUGGGUGAGUAUCUGGCUCGGCCUGGGCAUCUUCUUGGAGAACGUAUCUGCACUUGACUGUGUGGUGCGGUAUCCAGGACUUUUACUUUGAGGAAAUUAGAGUGUUUCAAGCAGGCAUACGCCUUGAAUACAUUAGCAUGGAAUAAUAAGAUAGGACCUCGGUUCUAUUUUGUUGGUUUCUAGAGCUGAGGUAAUGAUUAGAGUAGGGAUAGGGUUGGGGGUGUCUAGUUAAUUGGCCGGCCAGGAGGUAGUAAAUUUCGUU